rnacentral:sRNA from 1 species
AGAAGGAUGUCGAUGAGUUGUCACGUA